UACGUAGGGGGCAAGCGUUGUCCGGAUUUAUUGGGCGUAAAGAGCGUGUAGGCGGCCAGACAGGUCCGUUGUGAAAACUUGAGGCUCAACCUCGAGACGCCGAUGGAAACCGUCUGGCUAGAGUCCGGAAGAGGAGAGUGGAAUUCCUGGUGUAGCGGUGAAAUGCGCAGAUAUCAGGAAGAACACCCGUGGCUAAGGCGGCUCUCUAGUACGGUACUGACGCUGAGACGCGAAAGCGUGGGGAGCGAACAGG
rnacentral:rRNA from 1 species